GUUAUGAAAAUUAGACUACAUUUAAGGGUAAAAGAGUAAAUUGACUUAUCAAUGAUUUAAUGUUAAAAAUGAAAAUCUAGAAGCAUCUGUUUCUUUUUUUUUUUUUCCUAUUACAUUCCGGAUCUCCUUUAUUAUAAAGAAUCUAGAAGCAUCUCCUUCUUCUUUUUUCCGAAAAUUUCUAGAGUAUGAUUGUGAGAAAAAAAACUGUCGAAGUAUUCAUUCAAUUCUCUACAGAGUUUCAAGAACUUUCUUUAGAAUUUAAGACUCAAAUCAGCUGAAGUAUUUAGUUAUUUUUUAUUAUUGUUGUUGCAUAUCACCCACAUCAAUUCCAAAUUGGUCUAAGACGCAAGCUUCAACAAUGGUGGAUUUCGAAGAUAUUAUUAUUUUUUGAUUCGGUAUGUAAAUUUCAAUUUCGACUUCAUAAAAUUAUAGUUGAUCAAAUUUUCAGGUUCCAAUUUCUUGUUAUGUUCCAACAUUAGAGUCUCAAAUGCCUACCGGUAGACACAAAGCUUCUCUAUUUAGUAGAUGAAUGAGGACAAGAAAAUCUUAAAAGAGCAAAGCUGGAUGAUUUUUAGAUCUUCAAUCACAUAGGUGUGUAAAGAGCCCACCAUAUGAAAUUGAUAGAAAUUAUGGGACAACAUUUUGCAUGCGGCAUGAUCUCAAACUACUUAAUGGCGAUGGACUAAGAGUACCUAACUUUGUGAGUAUAACUAUCUCAAGAUUUGAUCCAUUUUCCCCUUCAACCUGUGAUUUUCAUUUCUUCAUCCUAUAUAUGCUUUUGUGUUUGAUGCAUUCUUUGCCGGUAUAUUUUGCUGAGCCAACAUGAAAGUUUACUCACAUUGUCCUACAUAAUUUGGACUACCAAUAAUGGAAUCUAUGUAUUAUAAUAAUAACUAAAUCAUGAGUCAGAAAAAUUCUCUUUCAAUCUAUUUCUAUCUGUCACCGACUCGUGAGCUUCUCGAUUAUUCAUUCUCUCUCUCUCUCUCGUGCUCAUUUUUGCUCCUAACUUUUUCUCUCUGUAAUCCUUUGUAUAUAAAUGUUCCCUUACUCUCUGUUUCAGUAAUCCACGCUAUUAAAAUUGGAAUUUUGAACAUUAUAAUCGAUCUCUCAAAGAAUAUCUAAUCAGAUUGUUCCUAAUUUCUCCAUUCGAAUUGUUCUUGAACAACCUCCUCUCUCUUAAAAAUAAAUAGGAGAAUAUGUAGAACCGUUUGAGUAUUUACUUAGUGUUUUUUAUUUGAUGGAAAGAUAUGAUGAUUUAUUAUGAAUAAUAUUAACUGGUUUAAGAAAGUAGAGAAUACUGAGAAAUCAGAAAGGUCGUCGUCAUUAGGAGAGUACAAGCGAGCAAUGUCAUGGUCCAAGUUCAUAUUAUCAUCAUAAAGGGGGAAAGGUAGGAUUAAUGGAGUCGAUAUGUCGCAACUUUAUAUAGGAAAUAAGUUUGAUUUGGGAAGACAUAGUAGAACUUUCAAGCACAUGGAAUUGACUACUAAACUCAUCACAGUAAGCAUGAUUCCCCAUUUUCUUUUAAAAAAAAUUGAAAAUGAUACUCUGAAUUAUAGAACUAUAAUGAAAUUUACAAUCAAUCUUUAUUUAUCCAAUUCAAAGAUUGAUGUUUGUUGUCCCAACCGUUCUUUUAGUCUCAAUCCAACCAUUUUUUUUAGUCCCAAUCCCGCUAAGCAAAGGGCUGACAUAGAACUAAGUUUCUGUGUUGUUGGUUCUCUCCAAAGUAUUACAUUUUUGUAGAUAGACUUUGGUAAAUGAAAAGAAUUGUGUUAUCAUUCCUUAUGAAGGGACUUUUUCUUGUCAAGUAUUGUAAGUUCAUAAUCUGAUUGUAACAUGUGAUUAUUUACCUGCCUUAAUUGAUUAAACUGUAGUAAUAUUUUUGUGGAAUCAUUAUAGGUUAAGAUUAACUAACGACAUCCUGAAGUGAUUUAUCACAUUUUAGUUUGUUUGAAGUCAAAGAAGAAGAAAAAAAGGAACUCUAGAAUGUGCUACGAACUGCAAAUUUGUAAUAACAUGAUGACACUAAGAUUACUAUCAUUGAGUUGUGAAAAUUAUGAUGUCUGGUCCAAAAUUUAGGAUUAGAAAAAGUAGUGUCUUUCAUAUAUAUUUAUAUUAACAACUCCAUAAUACUUAAAUAUCUAAUAUUAUUAUUAUAGACUUCAUUUGCUGCAGUUGCCACAAGUAUACUAAAAUUAAUUAAAGUAACUUUUCCUUCUUUCUCUGGUGAGGUUGCAUAGUCUGUUGAUGCUAUCAUCCAAAUGCAUAAUCUCCUGCAAACCUGAAAAAGUAAUUUAGGAAGUCAUCAGUGGGGAACAUCCCAUAUUAGUCAAUCCUAUGCUUUAAAAGUUGAUGAAUAGUUCUGUAGGACUUGAUGCAUCUUUUUUAUCUCCUAAAGUAAUCAAGAAGGCCACACGUACUCUCUUUAUUCGCAAAGUUAGGAGUGCAACUACCUUUAGGGGAUUAUUGCUAUAUUAGCCCCCCCUCUCUCUGAUUCUGCCUACCUUUACAGGGAUUGCAAGUUUGCAACAAGUUGCAACUAUAUACGUAUUGGCUUUGAUGAAUUUACAUAUCCUUUUUCGUUUUCUAAUGGCCACCUAUCCCAGACCAUACCAUGUUUGAACAUUAGCUAUUCAUUUAGAACGAAUGAUUAGUUAUGCAUUUGUGAAACCUGGUCUUGCAUCUCAUCUUUCUUGUUCCCGAAGUCAUUACAAGCCUAACUUCAUCGUUUGAACUGUGAAAGGGGUUAUUUUCAUGAUCUUGACAAGCUAAGAUAUUGAAUCUACAUGAAUAGGAUAAGGUGGUGUGGUAUUCUCCAGAGAAUUGCUCCCGCUUACUUGGUAGUGGCCAAAAUAGAAAUUUCUACUAUAUAGAAGAGGGAAGCAAGGGACGACCAAGGCCAAAAUGGUAAUUUUACACGAACAAAGGCAAUAAUCUCCACAACUCUAGAGCACAUGAGCUCUAGAAUCAUCCGAUGCUAGAUAUAUAACCCACACCGCUCUAGAAUCAUUUGAUGCAAGAAAUUAACCCACGGUCGGUCGAAGGUUAUCUGAAGUCAAAAAGAUGAAAGUAUGUAGUGGGCUGAGCUACGAGAAGCUGUCAUUUGAGGGUUGUAGCCACCUUGCUCGUAAUAAAAAUUUCCCUUCAAAAUCUCCUGGACAAGCUCUCAUCACUUAGCAAGUGAAGCUCUAAAGCUUGCUUCAAGAAACCAAUCAAGUCAGCUCGAUUCUCCCUUUAGUU